rnacentral:rRNA from 1 species
UACGUAGGGUGCAAGCGUUAUCCGGAAUCACUGGGUGUAAAGGGUGAGUAGGCGGUAUGUUAAGUCACAUGUGAAAUCCCAGGGCUCAACCCUGGGACUGCAUGAGAAACUGAUGAACUAGAGUACAGGAGAGGUAAGCGGAAUUCCUAGUGUAGCGGUGAAAUGCGUAGAUAUUAGGAAGAACACCAGUGGCGAAGGCGGCUUACUGGACUGAAACUGACGCUGAGUCGACGAAA